UUGUCCCGCUUCGAAAUUGACAGUUUCUUACACCAAUGUCCAAGCACAUAUGAGAAGUGGAUGGAUGCAGCCAGACGAAAAAAUUGUUCAAGCACACCUCAGAACUGCACUAGUCCGGAGAAUUUCAAAUACCAAUGUGUAGCGAAUGCCUACCUGAACGAAACCAUUGAAGUGUGUGCUCCCGGAUUAUUUCUUUUAGGAUUUUGUCCGGAAUAUAAUUUCCGAGGCGAACGAAUACAAGAUAACUAUAAUGCUGAUUGUAAACAUUAUGCAGAACCUUGCCCAAACAGAUACGAGUCUUGGAAGUCCUACAAAUUUCCAGGAUGAAUUACUCUGAGGAACUCAGUACACAAAAGUGAAUCUUUAUUAUCAAACAAAACUUUAAUUUUUAAAACAGCGAGGAAAAAAAUAAGCAGGCGUAAACUAAGUGACGACAGCUCUAUGGUCUUGAUUUUAUGCCUGAGUACUAGUAUUCCAUUCAUCGUAUUCAUAUCAGCUUUCAUAUUCAUUUUUAUCUAUAGAAGAAAGCGAAGAA